UNNNNNNGGCGUGCUAUACAUGCAGUCGAGCGAACAGACGAGGAGCUUGCUCCUCUGACGUUAGCGGCGGACGGGUGAGUAACACGUGGAUAACCUACCUAUAAGACUGGGAUAACUUCGGGAAACCGGAGCUAAUACCGGAUAAUAUAUUGAACCGCAUGGUUCAAUAGUGAAAGACGGUUUUGCUGUCACUUAUAGAUGGAUCCGCGCCGCAUUAGCUAGUUGGUAAGGUAACGGCUUACCAAGGCAACGAUGCGUAGCCGACCUGAGAGGGUGAUCGGCCACACUGGAACUGAGACACGGUCCAGACUCCUACGGGAGGCAGCAGUAGGGAAUCUUCCGCAAUGGGCGAAAGCCUGACGGAGCAACGCCGCGUGAGUGAUGAAGGUCUUCGGAUCGUAAAACUCUGUUAUUAGGGAAGAACAAAUGUGUAAGUAACUAUGCACGUCUUGACGGUACCUAAUCAGAAAGCCACGGCUAACUACGUGCCAGCAGCCGCGGUAAUACGUAGGUGGCAAGCGUUAUCCGGAAUUAUUGGGCGUAAAGCGCGCGUAGGCGGUUUUUUAAGUCUGAUGUGAAAGCCCACGGCUCAACCGUGGAGGGUCAUUGGAAACUGGAAAACUUGAGUGCAGAAGAGGAAAGUGGAAUUCCAUGUGUAGCGGUGAAAUGCGCAGAGAUAUGGAGGAACACCAGUGGCGAAGGCGACUUUCUGGUCUGUAACUGACGCUGAUGUGCGAAAGCGUGGGGAUCAAACAGGAUUAGAUACCCUGGUAGUCCACGCCGUAAACGAUGAGUGCUAAGUGUUAGGGGGUUUCCGCCCCUUAGUGCUGCAGCUAACGCAUUAAGCACUCCGCCUGGGGAGUACGACCGCAAGGUUGAAACUCAAGGGAAAUUGACCGGAA
rnacentral:rRNA from 1 species